rnacentral:lncRNA from 1 species
AGAGACUCAAAUAUAUAUAUGUUCUGUUGUCUGUCAUUAUUAACAUGAUCUAAUUUUACUGUAACUGAAGAACGUCAGUCUAGAUUUGACUCGUAUGGUUCUGAGAAUGGUAAUUUAAAUACAGAACCAAAAUAAAUUUAGGACUUAGUCAACAGACAAGAAAGAGGAAGUGAUUUCUUUAUAAUGGAAGCCAAGGAAUUUUUUCGCAAAUACUUGUGGUUAUUGAUAAUAUUAGGGAUGAUUUUUGUGACUGUGGUGAUCAGCAUCAUCUUCAUUCUAAUCAACAAAUGUUUAUCUAAAAAAGGCAAACACAGAAUUGCACAACUUCAGAAAAGAACCGUCUCCCCUGUCGAAAGCAACAAAUACCAGGAGACAAAUCUCUGGAACACUUUGACCCCCGGGACCCCUCCCCUGCCUCCUCGGACACAGUUUCUAACAGCAGCGGCGCAAAGCUAUGAGAACCUGGCUGAGACGCCCGGGUUUCAGCCGACGUCGGACUCAGAGGAGGACAAGCACGACUACGAGGAGGCCGAGGCCGAGGCCGAGUACGAACAAAACCGGGACAGCUAUGUGCAGCCCACGCUGGACUCAGAGGACAGGCGCGACUACGAGGAGGCCGAGGCCGAGUACGAGCAAGACCUCAGCAACUACGAGCAGCCGGUCCCUGACCAUGAACAGGACAAGCACGACUACGAGGAGGCCGAGGCCGACUAUGAGGAGGUCACAGAGGAGCAGCCUGACUACGUGAAGAUGGAGCCUAAUGAAGAGGUCUUUCCUCCUCCUCCUCCUCCUCCUCAGAACAUGGACCCAGCAGAGGACGACGACUAUGAGGACUAUGACGACGUCGGAGGAGAAGAUGAAGACCAGGAGGAAGACUAUGAUGAUGUGGGUUAAAAGAAAAAACAAUCUGAGGGACAUUUCUGACUGUCUGAUGAGGAUCCUACUGCACAGACCAACCACCAUUUAUGUUCUUUGAGCAGAUUUACAGAGACAAAUAUCUGUAUUCUAUGGGCACCAUGGACAAGUACAAAGAAGAGGAGGGAGGAGGUGGAGCUGGUUUCAGGUUCUCAGAUGUUUGACUCUGCUCAGAUACAGAGAACUUUAGUUGUUUUGUGCUGUUUUAAAGGAACAGUGUGUAAGGAAGUUGCUUUUUAGACAUAGUCUCACUUCCCGUGUCCUGAAAAGUCUCGUCCUCGUCAAGAUUCCGUAAAAGAUUUGGUCAUUUUUUGUAAUGAGCAGAGUCUGUAGAAGAAAAUGCAAGUGGUUAUUUUUUCCCAAAGGCCUUUUGGAUUAAUCUUGGCUACGGAUUGUUUUGAAAAUGUCUCUCCAUGAUGGAGCUGCAACCACAGUGGCCCCAGCGGCUGGAGCUGCUCCCAGCUGACACUGGGCACAGUGGGCAGCGCUCAGGCUGCGUCCUGGCCUUUACAUGAACGAUUUGAUCACUGUGUACACAUUAAAUGAAGAAGUCUGUAUAUAUUUUGUUUUGAAUCAGCCGACCUUGUUUGCAGCAGUGUCUCGAUCCUCACGUCUCCAUCCUUGAAGCAUUCGACCAUACAUUAUUUUUUUCUCCUCAUUCAACAUUCAUUCAACCGUCCGCAGUCCCGUAAUUAUUAUUUUCUGAAUCAACUUCAGGGCAGUAACACUACUUUUUUUUAAAUUUUUUCAUUGAAUUCCAGUGAACGAACCUUCGUCUUUUUCUCUCCGCUCUCAGCAUUGUUCUCCAGCCUUUCGUGUGUAGAACUUCUCAUAAGAUUAGCUUCAAUGUCUUACUUUCCUCUCAGGGUUUUUUAAAGUAAACAUUGUGAAUGUACUCGUCGGACCUGUUUGUUUAUUAGAACGAUUUUCAUCGUGAAGAAGAGAAUCUUAUAUUGAAUUAUUAAGGGAACAAACUGCAACUUUGCAUGAAGGACAUUUAAAUGUCUAGUGGUGGUUAAUCCUUGUGUUGUUUAUUGGAUAUAUGAUGAUCCUUACAACAACCACAAAUCACCUCAACAAUAAAAGUAUAUUCACAGAUUAAUAAAAGCCA